GAUGAACGCUGGCGGCGUGCUUAACACAUGCAAGUCGAACGGAGUGCCUUUGAAAGAGGAUUCGUCCAAUUGAUAAGGUUACUUAGUGGCGGACGGGUGAGUAACGCGUGAGGAACCUGCCUUGGAGUGGGGAAUAACACAGUGAAAAUUGUGCUAAUACCGCAUAAUGCAGUUGGGCCGCAUGGCUCUGACUGCCAAAGAUUUAUCGCUCUGAGAUGGCCUCGCGUCUGAUUAGCUAGUUGGUAAGGUAACGGCUUACCAAGGCAACGAUCAGUAGCCGACCUGAGAGGGUGACCGGCCACAUUGGGACUGAGACACGGCCCAA
rnacentral:rRNA from 1 species